rfam:TPA: Bos taurus chromosome 23, whole genome shotgun sequence.
CAAGUGGCUCUUUUCAGAGCCACUGAACUCGCACUACAGGACUGUG